rnacentral:misc_RNA from 1 species
UAGCUUUGAUCCCUUAAUACAAAGGGGAUUAUAAAAGUUAUUGAAUAUUCUUUGUUGGUUAAAAUAUUUUAUAUUUUGGAGUUGAGAGAAGAAAAGCAGAAUAGAAGUGUUGUUUUAUGUUUACCCAUGGGAUGCUGAUUGAAUUGGAUCAUAAAAUGGAAACGGUUGUUGAAGACAUAUUUAUUGACUGGUCUAGCUGGAAAAAGGAUCUAGUAUCCACCAUAUUUUCCUAGUCAUAUAAGUUCGGUUUUCACCAUAUACUAGAGGCAAUUAGCAUACUGGUCCAUAAUUUUUUA